GAGUUUGAUCAUGGCUCAGGAUGAACGCUAGCGGCAGGCUUAAUACAUGCAAGUCGAGGGGCAGCAGCUUUAUAGCAAUAUAGAGGCUGGCGACCGGCAAACGGGUGCGGAACACGUACACAACCUUCCUUGAAUAGGGGGAUAGCCCAUAGAAAUGUGGAUUAAUACCCCGUAAUAUAGCGGUGUGGCAUCACACUGUUAUUAUAGUUUCGGCGAUUCGAGAUGGGUGUGCGGCUGAUUAGGUAGUUGGCGGGGUAAAGGCCCACCAAGCCUUCGAUCAGUAGCUGAUGUGAGAGCACGAUCAGCCACACGGGCACUGAGACACGGGCCCGACUCCUACGGGAGGCAGCAGUAAGGAAUAUUGGUCAAUGGACGCAAGUYUGAACCAGCCAUGCCGCGUGAAGGAUGAAGGUCCUCUGGAUUGUAAACUUCUUUUAUAGGGGGCGAAAAAAGGUCUUCUAGAUCACUGACAGUACCGUA
rnacentral:rRNA from 1 species